CUCUUCCGAUCUGCCAAUUUGAUCCCAAGGCAAAGAAUAACCAGUUACACCAAAUGACGCAGUCAAAACAGCCAAAACCACACCUGUGACCCAAGUUAAUUCACGGGGUUUUUUAAAUCCCCCUGUGAGAUACACGCGAAAUACAUGCAGGA